UAAGGCCAUAAUUCACUCAUC
rnacentral:piRNA from 1 species